UACGUAGGGUCCAAGCGUUAAUCGGAAUUACUGGGCGUAAAGCGUGCGCAGGCGGUUGUGUAAGCCAGAUGUGAAAUCCUCGGGCUUAACCUGGGAAUGGCAUUUGGGACUGCACGGCUAGAGUACGGCAGAGGAGACUAGAAUUCCUGGUGUAGCAGUGAAAUGCGUAGAGAUGUGGAGGAACACCGAUGGCGAAGGCAGCCCCCUGGGUCAAGAUUGACGCUCAUGCACGAAAGCGUGGGGAGCAAACAGG
rnacentral:rRNA from 1 species